CUAACANAUGCAAGUCGAGCGGAAACGAGUUAACUGAACCUUCGGGGGAUGNUAACGGCGUCGAGCGGCGGACGGGUGAGUAAUGCCUAGGAAGUUGCCCAGUAGAGGGGGAUAACCAUUGGAAACGAUGGCUAAUACCGCAUAACCUCUUCGGAGCAAAGCAGGGGACCUUCGGGCCUUGCGCUAUUGGAUACGCCUAGGUGGGAUUAGCUAGUUGGUGAGGUAAUGGCUCACCAAGGCGACGAUCCCUAGCUGGUCUGAGAGGAUGAUCAGCCACACUGGAACUGAGACACGGUCCAGACUCCUACGGGAGGCAGCAGUGGGGAAUAUUGCACAAUGGGCGAAAGCCUGAUGCAGCCAUGCCGCGUGUGUGAAGAAGGCCUUCGGGUUGUAAAGCACUUUCAGCAGUGAGGAAGGCAUUAAGAUUAAUACUCUUGGUGUUUGACGUUAGCUGCAGAAGAAGCACCGGCUAACUCCGUGCCAGCAGCCGCGGUAAUACGGAGGGUGCGAGCGUUAAUCGGAAUUACUGGGCGUAAAGCGCAUGCAGGUGGUGGAUUAAGUCAGAUGUGAAAGCCCGGGGCUCAACCUCGGAACUGCAUUUGAAACUGGUUCACUAGAGUACUGUAGAGGGGGGUAGAAUUUCAGGUGUAGCGGUGAAAUGCGUAGAGAUCUGAAGGAAUACCGGUGGCGAA
rnacentral:rRNA from 1 species